UGACAUGAAAACUACACAGCAUAUAACUGUGGGGAAAGGAUGUGUUUAAAGCUAAAGAAUAGGCCACUGUAAUCUUUACAUUUGUUGCAAUUUGAAGACCAAGAAGACUGAUAAUUAUCUUUUUUUUUUCUCUAGAGGAGUGAUAAAAAGAAGAAAAAUCCAACUUCAUUAUAUUGUAGAGUUAAGAAACCAUGCCAGUCACUGUGCCUCCCAACAGAGAUCAAAGAAAUCCUCUACGAAACCCUUUGGUUUACAGAAGUCUUUCAAUCAGUCUAUCAAUGUUCCGGAUUACUAUCCAAGUAGCCAUUCCAAAUUUUGCUGGAUAUAUAAGAUCGUCUCCUGCGCCAUAGAUUAACAGUGUGGCUUCUUCCUGUUUACAAAGAUGGGAAAGUGGAAAAGUGGUGAUUAUUAUUUGGAGAGCCCAAAAAGUACAUUGUUAUUAUACCAAUAAAAGGAGACCAUAUGUCCACAUUCAUUUUUGGCUACUUCACAAAACAGAAACAGAGGGCAGAUAUAAAGAAGUCUUGAAGAGAAAAACACCGAUGGCCAAAUUCUCCCUCAUUCCACACAAACAUGUGCAUGUACAUGCAGGUACAUAUCCCUUCCAGCCAAGAUAAAAUGGCGAUGUCACAUACAUCAUUGACAAGUUCACUGAAUUCCACUGUCAGAAAUUUUACUUUGACAAAAAAUGUUUUGCAAAUUGUUUCUCAGGACUUGUGAAGUCAUAGUGCUGGCUGAUGAGGUCCUAAAUGUUAGAUUAUCAAAGGAAAGUGGCAUGGAAUGAGAAGAUAGAAUGGUUCUACACUUCUUCUGGAAACAAAGGAAAACCCCUCGAAGGACCUGGCAACGCAUUAAUAAAUAUCAUUUUACACA